rnacentral:rRNA from 1 species
GCGGUGCAUUAGCUAGUUGGUAAGGUAACGGCUUACCAAGGCGAUGAUGCAUAGCCGAGUUGAGAGACUGAUCGGCCACAAUGGAACUGAGACACGGUCCAUACUCCUACGGGAGGCAGCAGUAGGGAAUCUUCCACAAUGGGCGCAAGCCUGAUGGAGCAACACCGCGUGAGUGAAGAAGGGUUUCGGCUCGUAAAGCUCUGUUGUUGGAGAAGAACGUGCGUGAGAGUAACUGUUCGCGCAGUGACGGUAUCCAACCAGAAAGUCACGGCUAACUACGUGCCAGCAGCCGCGGUAAUACGUAGGUGGCAAGCGUUAUCCGGAUUUAUUGGGCGUAAAGCGAGCGCAGGCGGUUGCUUAGGUCUGAUGUGAAAGCCUUCGGCUUAACCGAAGAAGUGCAUCGGAAACCGGGCAACUUGAGUGCAGAAGAGGACAGUGGAACUCCAUGUGUAGCGGUGGAAUGCGUAGAUAUAUGGAAGAACACCGGUGGCGAAGGCGGCUGUCUGGUCUGCAACUGACGCUGAGGCUCGAAAGCAUGGGUAGCGAACAGGAUUAGAUACCCUGGUAGUCCAUGCCGUA